GCUAUUGCAGCCUAAGGUCACUCAAGGGACAAGGAUGUUUUAAAGGUAGCUUGAGCCACAGCAAGGUAGUACAAAAAGCCUUCAAGGAGCUUACCAAAGAGCUGUAACUUCACACAGUGGGGGUAUUAUCAGCAAAAGACAUUAUUAUACUACAACUCUCUAAAUACCUUACAAAACUAUUUAAGUGUCUACUUUUAACAAGAAAGAGAUGUUAUAAAUUAGACCGCAUCAAAUCAGAUCAUAGAAAAAUAUUUAUUAAUUCGAGUAAGCAAAAACACAAGCAAAACGCAGCGCUGGGCGGCUGGGGAGUCACAACUUCGGCAACAGCACGCAAUCUGAGCGGGGUUUGAGUCCCGUCUUUUAUACCGUCCUUAGUUCCUGUAUACGCGACCUUCCAGUGUAUGUGGGCCGUUGCUAGGGGGUCGGCGUCUGGGAUAAGGUUCGUAGUUAUCUUCACCGCUUCCAGCGGUUCCGUUGUUGUAACAUUGUUUAUGUUUCCUGAUGUCCUGACAAGGGGGCUUCUUACAAAGCAGUCCUCGAUUUGCCUAACAAUUAUCACCAUAUCAGGAUGUUUGCCCGCAGCCUGUACACCCAACGGCCAGGUCGUUAGCACUUCCCUUUACAAUGAACAAACGACUUUACAUCUUAUCACAAGAGAUAAAAAGAUGUUGCUACUGCCACCAUUCAGCAAUUUUAGGCUGAACAGGAAGACACAGUAACCUUACAGAUGACAAACAGCCUCUCUGUAGUCCUCCCACGUCACCCAAUCUCACUUCCAGCAGCCAUAUAUUUUCUGCCUAAGCUCUGAAGAGGAUUCCUGAACAGGUAAGCUGCCUGCAUUGACUUCCAGUGUUUUGAAAUUGCCUGUUCCUGUGCUUUUAAGAGGUCAUACUUAAAAACUGACGAGUACUGAUGGACCCUAAUGCCUUCCAAAGCACGUUCCCAGUGGACCCUACUAACUAGUUUCCUGAGCAGCUCUUCUAGAGUUAAGAGUCUCCCCUGAUUACAGCAAUGGCAGAUGUCAACAAUAAAAGAUCCGCAUCAGGCUAAGUGUCUCAAUUGUUAAGGGGCUCAUGAUUCAAAUCUUAAACAUUAAACUGCAUGUAGAAACCAACAGACAACUGGAACCAGAUUUACAGAAUCAGAAGGCUGGAAGGGAGGGACCUCAAAGAGGUUUUUAGUCCAAACACCUGUUCAAAGCAGGGUCAAAACUGGAUUCAGGCCACGUUGCAGAAGGGUACAUGCAAUUGAGUUUUGAAAACCUUCAAGAGAGACCACUCAACCUUUUGGGGCAACAUGUUCAAAUACUUAAUUAUUCUCCUAGGGCACUGUUCCCCCCCCCCCAUACUCAGCAUAAGAACCUCGAUUGCUUCAAAUUAAAAUGUUGUCUCAUGCUCCCACUGUGCACAUCCAUACAGAUACGGGGUUCAUCUUCCUGAAAACAUCCUUGAAGGUACAGGAAGGCAGCUAUCAUGGGCAGGAUCUGAGCCUCACCCAAGCCUCUCCAGGCUGACCCAGCCCAGCUCGGCUUCUCUUCACCCACGAAGAGCUUCUCUCCUUGACCACCUUGGUGGCCCUCCAUUGACUUCAAUCCAAUUUAAAUUGACCUUUCCUGUAUCAGAGGACUCAAACCCAGUACUUCAGAUGGGAUCUAACAAGUGCUGAGAAUAAAGAAAAAACUCCUCUUGAUUUGUCAGUCUGUACGUAGCCCACCACACUUAAUUUUCACUGUUAGGAAACUGAAAACAGUGCAGAGCCUCCCAGGGAUGCCAGCUUUAUUAUGAUAUCCUUCAGUGUCCUCAACCUUCAGACAAAAACAAGGUUUUGUCCCACCCAGUGCUUUAGCUUAAUCUUCAGGCUGAUAAGAAGUCCCCUAAAUAACAACAAGGGAAAGUAACCAUGCCUACAGCUGUGCAGGCACCUAUCCUGUACCAUUCCUCAUGGUAUCUGCACUGGUCUGUAAUUGUAAAUGUAAAUGUAAGCUGUAAAACAAAGCAGAUUCUGGGAGUACAUACCAGGAGUCCCACUGUCUUAAUUUGUUAAGUAGAUUGUUUAAAUUCACAGAGUAUUGCACAAGCUGUAUCUAUCCUCCCUGUGAAUUGAGGAAGACAACUGAAUAAAAGUUUAAAAGAAGUCAGAACACUAUUUUGUGUUUCACAGGUGCAUAAAAUACUAAAUAAAGAAAAUUCGGACUGGACUUUUAGAAGAAAGUAAAAGGAAAAAAAAAUGAUACCAGGCUUCCAAAAUACUUUUAUUUUUUAAGAGUAUUCCCACAUUAUUUUUUAAAACCUCACAGUUUACUAUCUUAUGUACUUCAAAAUACUUAAGUCAUUAGAAGAAACGCACACUUCCAAUGUCUCGGCUCAGAGUCUACCUGAAAUGUUUUGAUUUUUUUUCCUAAUCAGAAAUUAUUGAUCUGUAAAAACUAACACACAUUCUAAUUCAAGUGUCAUCAGUAAAUGACUUCUCCAGCACUGACAAAGAAAAAGUCUGAAACUAUCAACAUGAAAAACCAUUUAUUUUGUUACUCCUUCCCCCC